AACUAUGAUGAGGCGUUGCGUCCUAAAGGUUGUUAAUUGGCAUUUGGGAUUCAAGAUUUCCAGUUUCUCUCUAGUUGAUUGUGAAGUUGGAUCCUAUUAUGCAUCAGGAUACAAAUGUCAUGGUUUAAUUGGUGGUCAUCUACAUGGAUUACUGCCAAGAGCAUAUGCAACUGCUUUUGCUAAGUUGUCAGAAGACCCGCGGCAUGCUAAUUCUGUAUCUGAUAUGUUAAUUGAUUCUUUUGGAAGGAUGCACACUUACUUGAGGAUCUCCUUGACUGAACGUUGCAAUUUAAGGUGUCAGUACUGUAUGCCAGCUGAGGGUGUGGAGCUUACUCCUAACCCUAAAUUACUGUCACAGAACGAGAUUGUUCAUUUGGCAAAUCUCUUUGUCAGUUCAGGAGUGGAUAAAAUUCGUUUGACUGGUGGUGAGCCAACAGUUAGGAAGGAUAUUGAAGAGAUAUGCUUACGGCUAUCUAAAUUGAAAGGACUCAAGACGUUGGCCAUGACUACCAAUGGAAUUGCUCUUGCAAGGAAACUUCCAAGGCUGAAAGAAUGUGGGCUUACUUCUAUAAAUAUCAGCUUGGAUACAUUGGUCCCAGCUAAAUUUGAAUUCAUGACCAGGCGUAAGGGGCAUGAAAAGGUCAUGGAGUCGAUUAAUGCUGCUAUAGACUGUGGGUACAACCCUGUAAAAGUAUGUGCCUUUGCAAUUUUGUGCUCCUUUCCUUUUUUUUCCCUUCCAAAUUUUGC
rnacentral:misc_RNA from 1 species